CACGUAGGGCGCGAGCGUUGUCCGGAAUUAUUGGGCGUAAAGAGCUCGUAGGCGGCCUGUUGCGUCCGCUGUGAAAGCCCGGGGCUUAACCCUGGGUCGGCAGUGGAUACGGGCAGGCUAGAGGUAGGUAGGGGAGAAUGGAAUUCCCGGUGUAGCGGUGAAAUGCGUAGAUAUCUGGAGGAACACCGGUGGCGAAGGCGGCAUUCUGGACCGAUAUUGACGCUGAGGAGCGAAAGCCAGGGGAGCAAACAGG
rnacentral:rRNA from 1 species